rnacentral:rRNA from 1 species
GACAUAGGGGGCAAGCGUUGCUCGGAAUUACUGGGCGUAAAGGGCGCGUAGGCGGGAUGGCAAGUCGGUCGUGAAAUCCCUCGGCUCAACCGAGGAACGUCGAUCGAUACUGCUGUUCUUGAGGAUUGCAGAGGAGACUGGAAUUCCCGGUGUAGCGGUGAAAUGUGUAGAGAUCGGGAGGAACACCGGUGGCGAAGGCGGGUCUCUGGGCAAUUCCUGACGCUGAGGCGCGGAAGCGUGGGGAGCAAACGGG